GUACUUGCUUUGGCGGCACAUAUACUAAAACUGGAAUGAUACAGAGAAGAUUAGCAUGGCCCCUCCGCAAGGAUGACAUACAAAAAUUCAUGGUGGCAAGGAUAGCUUU